GUGGAAUGAUCUACCGCUGUCUGUUAGUUUGCAUUUUUGUUUGCAGUCAUUUCUUAUUUCAAAACUCAAGCACAGCUUCUUUGACAACGCAAUCUCCACUAGAAGAAAAAGAGAAGAGGACAUUAUAGAAGUGACAACACACAGUAACUGCACUUGUUUAUUAUGAAUCACAGUAACUGCACUUAUAUAUUAUGAAUAUCCUGGCCAAGUCGCUG